rnacentral:rRNA from 1 species
GGAGUUAGCCGGUGCUUCUUCUGUGAGUGAUGUCCUUCCUGCCGGCUAUUAACCCGCAGGCCUUCUUCCUCACUGAAAGUGCUUUACAACCCGAAGGCCUUCUUCACACACGCGGCAUGGCUGGAUCAGGGUUGCCCCCAUUGUCCAAUAUUCCCCACUGCUGCCUCCCGUAGGAGUCUGGGCCGUGUCUCAGUCCCAGUGUGGCUGAUCAUCCUCUCAGACCAGCUACGGAUCGUCGCCUUGGUGAGCCGUUACCUCACCAACCAGCUAAUCCGACAUAGGCUCAUCCGAUAGCGCGAGGCCCGAAGGUCCCCCGCUUUCCCCCGUAGGGCGUAUGCGGUAUUAGCCUGGGUUUCCCCAGGUUAUCCCCCACUACCGGGCAGAUUCCUAUGCAUUACUCACCCGUCCGCCGUC